AUUGAACGCUGGCGGCAGGCCUAACACAUGCAAGUCGAGCGGAGCGGCCGACGGGCGAGUAAUUCCUAUGUAUCUGCCUGGCAGUGGGGGAUAACGUCCGGCAACGGGCGCUAAUACCGCCCACUAUCAGUCGAGCCUAGGCCGGAUUAGCUAGUUGGUGGGGUAAAGGCUCACCAAGGCGACGAUCCGUAACUGGUCUGAGAGGAUGAUCAGUCACACUGGAACUGAGACACGGUCCAGACUCCUACGGGAGGCAGCAGUGGGGAAUAUUGGACAAUGGGCGAAAGCCUGAUCCAGCCAUGCCGCGUGUGUGAAGAAGGUCUUCGGGUUGUAAAGCACUUUAAGUUGGGAGGCGUUACCAACAGAAUAAGCACCGGCUAACUUCGUGCCAGCAGCCGCGGUAAUAC
rnacentral:rRNA from 1 species